UACGGGGGGGGCAAGCGUUGUUCGGAAUUACUGGGCGUAAAGGGCUCGUAGGCGGCCAACUAAGUCGGAUGUGAAAUCCCCAGGCUUAACCUGGGAACUGCAUCCGAUACUGGAUGGCUUGAAUCCGGGAGAGGGAUGCAGAAUUCCAGGUGUAGCGGUGAAAUGCGUAGAUAUCUGGAGGAACACCGGUGGUGUAAACGGCUUUCUGGACCAUAACUGACGCUGAGGCACGAAAGCGUGGGUAGCAAACAGG
rnacentral:rRNA from 1 species